GUACCUGUAGCUCAGCGGAUAGAGCACUUGCCUACGGAGCAAGGGGCCGGGGGUUCGAAUCCCUCCAGGUACG
rnacentral:tRNA from 1 species